ACAGCUCAUGUUGACCUUUUAUUAUUCUUUUUUGGCCAUCGCCAGCACGUCUGGCACAAGGCAAGUUCGGCUACUUAUCUGUACGCAGAUACCUGUUGUAAUCGUGACUUAUUAGGAUCUCUAGCAUGUGAAUUGGCCACCUAAAAUAAACGUGAUUUUUUAUGGCGGAUGGGAGACGUAUGUGAGAUUGAAACAUCUUACAUGUAAGAUCACGAAUAACGGAUGUCCAUAUAGUAUGACGUGUAGAUCGAACAAUUGUUAUGGGAGAAAAGUAAUAUCAUAUAUAUAACAAAGGGCUCAUAUAGUAUGACAUAUAGCUCGAACGGUUAUUAUAGAGAGAAAGCCCCCUCAGACAAACUCGCUUUUAUAGUAUGAUAAUGUGAUGAUACUAGUAGGUUGUCUUAAAAUAUAACUUUAAACAUAUUUUGCAUAUUCGAAAUCUUUUGAGAAAAACUUUUGCGUAUUUAAAAAAAAAUCAGAAAUCUAAAAUAUGACAACUCCUUUUACAUAUUCGUCAAUUCGUGGUUUGUCAUUUGAUAUUUGUGUGUUGCUGCUGGGCAUUAAUUCGUCAGUGUGGACAAUAAUAUGGAGGAGCAGUGACAAGCUGUAGCUCCAUCACUCCAACUUCGGUGAAAUAAUCAUAAUUUUUUUGUGUUAAAUUAAACUUUGGUUUGAUGGUAAUAGUUAAGAUACUUUCCACACCCGUAUCAUUUGCAAGAAGAGUUCAUUUUUCUGGCUGCUAAUUUUAAUGAAGUUUAAUUAACUUUGCACGCACCGCCACGGUACCCAUAUACCCACUAAUUGGCGCGCGUGCUGGUCGAUUCAUGCGUACAUGCCCGUGGCCGUGGCGGCAGCGUCGUCGCCGUACGUCCGUCCGGUCGGCAGCGCGCGGAGACACCGCCGACGUUCGGAGACCGCGCGGCGUGCGUCGUCAACGACAGCCGUGGACGACACGCCCGUCCUCACCGGACACGCGAUCGAACGCGCGCGACCGCCGCAGGCCGCAGCUGGUGCGCCUUCGGGAUCAGUAGUGAUCACGUGAGAGAGCGGGCUAAGUGUGCUGUGUCAUGUCAUGGCGGAAAAAAUACCGUACGCUGAUUUAUUAUAAGAGAAAAUUAUUUUUAGCCGGUAAAAAAAUAACAGCUUAUAAAAUAUAAGGAAACGGUUGAAUAAAAUCUGGUUAGGUUAAAGACAUAUUUGGUAGGACUUCUUCAUGCUCUGGCUUCUUGCUACAGCACUAGAGGAGUCGGAGCUACAAGGCCUUGUUUAGUUUACCCUGAAAACCAAAAAGUUUUCAAGAUUCCCCGUCACAUCGAAUCUUGUGGCACAUGCAUGAAACAUUAAAUAUAGACGAAAACAAAAACUAAUUACACAGUUUAGCUGGAAAUCACGAGACGAAUCUUUUGAUCCUAGUUAGUCCAUGAUUGAAUAAUAUUAGUCACAAACAAACGAAAGUGCUACAGUACUGAAAACUUUUCACUUUUCGAAACUAAACAAGGCCCCAGUUUAUUUUAAGUAGAAAGAGAAAAAAAAGUUUUUUUUAUGAACAAUAUGUUCAGCCUAUAUUCAUUUUAUCCCUAAGAGCCUGUUUAAAUAAACUCAAAAACCCAAAAGUUUAUAAAAUUUUCCAUCAAAUCAAAUCUUACAGUAAAUGCAUGAAGCAUUAAAUAUAGAUAAAAAAUAACUAAUUCUACAGUUUAUCUAUAAAUCACGAGAUGAAUUUUUUAAGUCUAGUUAGUUCAUAAUUUGAUAAUAUGUGUGAAACGAAAAUGAAAGUCCUACAGUGUCAAAAAUCCAAAAAGAUUUUGGAUCUAAACACAUCCUAAACCUAGAUUUUGGAUCAUAAAAGUUUAGUUUUGCCUUUAUUAAUCUGCUUGCGUCUCGUCUCAGACAAAUAAGGAAGAAAAUAUCAUCAUUUUGUUUACUUAACUGUCUGUCCAAAUGCUAAACCAACGUGUUUCCAUUUUUUAGACCAAAUUUUGAAUCCUAAAAUAUCAAAAAAAAAAAAAGACAUAGGAACUGGGGGUACUAGUCUCCUAGAACUGUAACUGUGCUCCCGUUGAUUCACGAGGACUUUUUGGUCCGUACGUGUCUGCCUUCAGUUCAGCCCCGACGAUCCGAUGGCUUGUACGUUGCCAACACUGCACAUCGUACUAGCAGUGAAGCGCACCACGUCUUCGUGACGUGCACUACGUGCCAUGCCAUUGCUAGCUGCUAGCAGUAGUAUGGUAUGGUACUGUACGUACUAGCAGUAAAACACACCGUCCGUCGUUGGUCCGUCCGGCCAGGCGAUGCAUGCCAGCGAGAUGGCGCACCGACCGGCAUGGCACGCAUGACAACCGUGACAACCCAACCCCUUCCAUCAACUUAUCUCAAACAGUUGUUGGUUUUCCAUGGUUUCCCCUUGCCGAUGCCGGUGGCUAGGAGCUUCGGUUUCUCACCCGCAGAUGCUCUGAUCGAAACAUUGCACCGCUUUCGUUUCUAAAUAAAUCAGCUUCUAGAGUUGUUCAAGUCAAUUGUUUUAUUUGAUCAAUUUUACAAAAGAAUCAAUGUCUAUGGCAAGCAACAAAAAUGUAUAAUAUUAAAAAUAUAUUUCAUGUUAUAUGUAACUAUAAUGUAGGGUCAUUAGUAUUAACCCUUUUUUCCAUAAAAUUAAGUUCAAUUUUUUAUAACAAGUUUAGCUUAGGACAACUCUAAAAUUUAAUGUAUUCAUGGAUCGAGAAAUUGGUAACGCUUAGUUUGAGGAGCUUAGUAAGGGCUUUUUCCACUGGACGUAGAAAAGCGACUCAUGGUCGUACCUGCCACACGAAUGAGUCAGUUUUACUGUUGGAGCACAUCGACUCGUCGAGGAGAGAGAGAGAUAGAGAGAGAGAGGAGUCGACUCCGAAGACUGAUCAAGAUCAUGCAUUGGUUCAUCCAAAUAAAAAGUGAAUUAAAGAUGAGCUAUUGUGCCCUUCUUGGCUGAGACAUUCACCAUCGGCCUCGCCUGACGCCAUCAUCCGCGCUGCUUGGGUCCCUCCAUCACCAGAGUUUGAUGUUUGCGGCGCCGCUCAGGAGAGGUUGUCAGGGUGCGACAUGCGCUGCCGCUUGGGGAGCCUAUCAUACCGCGACAUGCAUCGCUCGGGGGAGCUGGUCCGUCUGCGACCCACACCGCCGCUCAGAGAAAGGAAAGGACAAAAGUGUCGCUGCCCUGGGCAAGAUUGAAAGGUCCUAAUAUGGCUAGAGCGGGGGGGUGUGAAUAGCCUAUUUAAAAAUUCUACAAACUCACUAGAGUAAGAGGUUAGUGAAUAACAAAAGCGAAGCAUUUUGCUCUAGCUCUAAAGGGGUGUUUGCAAGCCACCUAUCCAACAAUUCUAGUUGCUAUGAUCAUUAGGCACACAAGAGCUAAGUCUCUACAAGUUACACCAGUGAGCUUAACUACACAAGGCAAGACUAGCAACUAAACUAGCUACACUACUUUGCGGUAAGUAAAUGGAGAGAAAGAGAUAUUUAUACCACCGUGUAGUGGAUGAACCAAUCAAUAAUAUAUGAACAAUCAAUCACCGGGAGAAUGUCAAACAAACUCAAUUGAGACACCGAUUUUUCUCCCAAGGUUCAUGUGCUUACCGGCACGCUACGUCCCUGUUGUGUCGACCAACACUUGGUGGUUCGGCGGCUAAGAGAUGUAGCACGAACCUCGUCCUCACUAGGACAUCGUAAGAACCUACCCACAAGUGAGGUAGCUCAAUGACACGAGCAAUCCACUAGAGUUACCUUUCGGCUCUCCCCCGGGAAAGGUAUAAAACCUCUCGCAAUCACUGAGAGAUGUCCACGGACAAUCACCAACUCAUGCAAAUGCUCCUCUGCUGCUCCAAGCCAUCUAGGUGGCGGCAACCACCAAGAGUAACAAGAAAACUGCAGCUAAAUCGAUCCCCAAGUGCCAUUAGAUCCAAUCACUCAAGCAAAUGCACUUCAAUUCACUCCCAAUCUCACAAAGAUGGUUAAUCUAUGAAGGAGAUGAGUGGGAGGUGUUUGCUUAGGCUCACAAGGAUGUCAAGUAUACUAGAAUGCCAAGAGACUGAGCCCCAAGCCGGCCAACAACUAUUUAUAAGCCUCUCAAAUAAAUAGAGUCGUUGCCUCUUUUACUGGACAGAAGUUAGAACCACCGGACUCGCUGCAGGUGAGCCACUGGAUGCUCGAACCCAGUAUCUGGUGCUCAGAAAACAGCCACGUGUCCCUACUUGAAUCACGUGCGUCGAUCUCAAACGGUCAUAUUCAAACUAUCAGACGCGGUCAAGUAGACAUCACACGCGUGCGAUACACACUGGACACGUAUGUAGAGAGGUUGUCAAACGCACGGGAUCACCGGACUCACACUCGGUGCUCACAGUCAGAAACACUCGCAUUCUCACUGCUGAUAUCAAGCAACACCGGACACACCAACAAGGUUUGGCCGCCAUCCGAUGCUGAGCGUCCGGUGCUCCCUGCUAACUUCGCCAGAGGCUGACAGCACACCGGACGCGCAGGCUCAUUGUCCGUUGCCUGCGGUUAGAGCGUCUGGUGAGUGUUUUCAGUGUGAAACACUCCGGCGACUUCUCAAAAUUUUUCAUCGGCGCAAAAGAAAAUAUGCAUUUUAUUUUCUCAAAAGCGCCGAAUUCCGUCUCGCAAGCUCGGCGGGAGGGAGAGAGGAACCCACACCCCUCUCUACCCUUCAACCUCCACCUCCUUCUUAAAGUGUGCCAACACAACCACGUGUGUACCAACAUGUGUAAGUGUGUUACCAUUUUCACAACCAUUUUCUUCGAAGGAGUUAAGUUAGCUUACUAUGUUCUAAAUGUAUUUAAAUGAACAAAGACACCUAGUGGCACUCGAUAAUGGUUUUAGCCAAAUAAUUCCUCUCUUUAUAGUACGACUAUCUAUCCUAAAUGUGAUCACACCCUCUAUGGUGUCUUGAUCACCAAAACCAAAACCCUAAGCAAUACUUUUGUCUUGAUCUCCAUAGAGUUUUGUUUUCUCUUUCUUCUUUUCAAAAUUGAGCAAUUGAUCAUCUUGUGGUCAUCAUCAUUAUCACCAUGAUCAUCACUUGCUCCAACACUUGACAUGUACUAACCUUAUUAAAUCUACACACACUUAGUAUAAAGGUUAGCACUAGGGUUUCACCAAUUAUCCAAAAGUCAAACUAGGGUUUUCAAAGAUGCAGAAAAACAAAGAGAAAAAGUUGCCAGUAGAGAAAAAAGAGACAAGAAGAGUCGAGUAUUGUGCCUCUACCAUUGGGAGAAGGUUGAGUCUUUGUUGGUUUAGUUUUGGGCCCACGUGGCCCUCUUUCUCUUAGGAGGGUCGACGCACCACUGUGGGGUGCCUUAAGCAUAGCAAACAUGACCUUUACUCGAUUAGCACAGAAUUUUUUUCUCAGUGGUAUGACAAUUCUAGGUUUAGAAAUCAAUGGAGCUAGAGCUAUAAUUUUGACCUUUAGCACAGCAAAAAGAAAUAAAAAAAUGGUUAUUCUCCCUGACUUUAGAGUGGACAGUGUAAUCAAGGUAGCCGGGCAGCAGGCGCCCGCAAAUUUGACGCCAGUGACAUGCUCCCUGUAGGAAUAAUCAACGCUUCGCUUUUGACGCUCCUCCGAUCCCUGCUAAUAGUUGAUUAAAAAUCUUGUAUCCUGGAGAAGACAGGCAUCAAUCACAUGCAUCAAUGCAUGUAUUUUUUUUUUGUUGUUUCUUUGACAUUUUCUUGCUCUCUGCGUGCAGUUUAAAAAAUUGCGACGCUUUUGACCGACCCCUACGCCACCGUAAAAAGCGUAAGGGAAUCGGGCCACGCAACGCUGCCUGCCUGCCGUUUUAUCGCCGACGGCGUUGACGUGGUUGCCGUCCCCGUCCCCGACAAAGUUACCAGUUAGCUAACGAUAACCAAUCACCUCCUCAUUACUCUCUACGUACUACACGGGCAGGCAUGCAAUAAUCCGUGUCCAUUGUAUGUACUGAUGAGUGCGUGUCUAACCACCUCACCAUGUGCUUAGGGCUUGUUUAGAUGCAAAAUUUUUUGGAUUUUGACACUGUAACAUUUUCGUUUUUUUUACAAACAUUGUUCAAUCAUGAAGUAACUAGGCUUAAAAGAUUCGUCUCGCAAUUUACAGACAAACUGUGUAAUUAGUUUUUAUUUUUAUCUAUAUUUAAUACUCUAUGCAUGUGCCGCAAGAUUCGAUGUGAUGGGGAAUCUUGUAAAGUUUUGGGUUUUUGGGUGUAUCUAAACAAGACCUUAAUUAGCAGGUUCUCGUCAGUCUUCUCAAGCUUCUUUACGCAAGGCCCAAGUGGCAUGGUUAAGUUAAAAAAAGGGUUAGCUUUGCAGCUUCUAGAAUAACCCUCUUGACCCGAAUGGCAUAAGGGCACUCCCAAUGCUAAAAACUACGUGUAGUUUCUAUACCUAUUAAUUUCUAUAGACACUAUGUAUAGAAACUAUGGUCCCAAUGGAUAGUUUCUAUACAAUAAUUUGUUAUCCAAUCACAUUCAUUCUCUCUCCAUUCUCAACCAAUCAUAUUACUUCAUGUCUUAGAUCUCGUAUAGACAUAGUUUUUAAGUUAGACUCAGUUUCUAUGAUUUUUGCUCUCUCUCUUCAAUAACUACCUUGCCACAUCAGCAAAAUGCUUAGGUGGCACUAUAAUUAAUGUCUAUAGAAACUAUGAUGGUUUCUGCAUUGGGAGUGCCCUAUGGGCACUCACAAUACAGACUCUAUCAUAAAGUCUAAAGUUAUUUAUUACCUCGAACAAUGUAGACUUAGAGUCUAAAUAAGAGCAAAUAUUAUAGUGGAUUGUAAGCUGGCUAAACGCUGAGGUGGAUGAAAAAAGGGAGGAGAGAGAGGAGAAGCGGGUUGUAAGCUUACAGCCAGCUUAGGCACAGGAACCAAGAAACUUUGUGAGAGAGACAAGUGGGCCAUAUAUUAAUAGUGAAUAGUUAACUAUUGUAUAGGUGGGCUGGGAGAAGGCUGCAAGAAACCUUAUAGCCAGCAAGUGGGCUGUAUUAUUAAACUUUCUCUAAGACUUGGAGUUUUAUUUUUUCUACCUCUUUCUUCAAUAAAUAUGCUGCCACAUCAACAAUCUUUCUUGGACUCUAUGAUAGAGUUUUGCACUAUGAGUGUACUAGACUUGAGCAAAAGUUAGUUUAUGUAUGUACAAAGGCCGGCUUCUCAAAACUUUUGCUUGGAGACUCAUUAGAAGGGCGCUCGCCACAGCAGAUCGAGCGACAAGAUACUCCGUCAACGGGACUAAUACUUGUGACAGAUGCAACAUGAUCGAAACUGACUCUCACCUGUUCUUUCAUUGUAAUCUCCCUACACAGGUUUGGCUCACAUCAAGUCCUGCUCUCAAUACAGCCACCCUUCCCUCGAAGAUGAUGGAGUACAACAUAUCCUCCAAACUAUUCUCCCAGAUAACACAAAUGAAUUUCUUUUAUGUAAAACUCUCACUACUUUGUGGUAUAUCUGGAAAUCUAGAAAUGACUACCAUUUUAACAGGAAAGAGUGGACCCAUGUGCAAAUUCACACUGCCAUUGCAAGUUAUAUGGAGCAUAAUCAUCUACAUCCAUCCCAAACAGCUGCUUCUUUCCAGCAGCCCCCUGGUAUGUUUUCUUCUAUUAUGCAGACUACUCCAAUCCCAGCGGAAUCGACAAGGCCACAUUUUUACGCCAACCCAAUGGCACUCCAAGGAUCCCGAUGCUAUGUAGAUGUCUCCAGGGUGCCAGAUAAUCAAUCCGCAGCUCCGGCCGAUGCUGGCAUAGGUAUUUUUAUUCUCAAUUUUCAGGCACAACCAGCCCAAUCUAUCUACAUCAAGGCCAGGAUGCAAAACUGUUACUCUGUUCUUAUGGGAGAGGCUGCGGCUCUAGCUCUUGGUGCCAAGCUGAUUCAAGCCCUCCAGAUCUCUCAAUGUUUCUUCCUCUCUGAUUCCGAACAGCUUGUUCGGUUUCUUCACAAAGACAGAAGGGACAACCCUCCCCACUGGAGAAUGAAACCAUAUACCCAAACCUUUGAUAAUGUCGUAGGAUUACUUCAAGCUACUCUUUUCAAGAUUCCCAAAUCAUCAAACUCUACAGCGGAUACCCUAGCUAAACAAGCGAGAGUUUCCACUCUUGUUCAGCUUGAUCACUCUUGUACCCGUUUGGCUUGUGGUCCUUUAUGUUCUUCUCUUCAGGCUCUACUUUCAGUAGACCUGUUUGAUGUACAAACCUUUGCAGCUUCAUGCUGCGUUUAAUAUAUUUCGGUCUGUUCCUUGUCAAAAAAAAAAAGACACAAUCUAGACCUAAGCUAAAUUUGGCAAACCAAAUGUGAGAAAUUAGAAAUUUUUUGUAACCAAUUAAAUACUAAAUCAAAAUUAUGGCUUAUCAAAUAUUUGGCAUGGCAAAUUUUGAUAGUGAACGAAACACUCCAGAUAAUCCGUGUCCAAACCCGUUCAACGGCCAGGUUCGUACGUGCCUGCCAUUUUCGAGCCUGGCCAAGAAAGGUACUGCUCAUCGUCACCCCGACACCCUCCAUAACGGCUCCUGUACUGUACAUCACGACCCUGUGCAGUGGGCCCCAAACGGACUGGUGCAACUCCGGCGCUCGCACGCACGGCCUCCCCGCGAGUCCGCCGCACCGGAUCCGGUUUGACUUCCCACGCUGCUGCUUCCACGCUGACGCAGCUGCCAAACUCGCAGUAAUAAAAGCCUGCGGCGCGAUGCAUUGACGGAUCUGCCCCUCCCCUGCCCGCCCAACCACGGACGAGCCUGUCCGGAUCGUCUGCGCCCCGCCCGCGCGUCGUCCAUGGUCCCUGGACCCCGCCUGUCCGUGACCCUGACCCCGUGCCGUCGCCGUCGCUAACGGCACACACACACACACGACGUGCGUGUCUGUCUCCUGGACCCACGCGUCGGCGAGCGGCCCCCCGCCGUGGCCUUUGGUGGGGCUCGCCUCGCCCGCCGCUGGUAUAAACCCCCGCGCCACCAACUCCCUCGGCCGCACGCCGCCACCGCGGAAACCUCACUGGAGUGGUCACACUGCAAGCGAGUGCACGAGACAGAAGGGUCAUGGUCGCCGCGGCGCGCGUCGCCCCGGCGCUCGGGAACAAGCCUGGGCCGGGGCAGGGGCUCGCGAUGCUGGAGGUUGUGGUGGCGCCGCCGCCAGGACCAGCGGCGGGGGAGGAGCGGCUGUCGGACGCUGACACGACGGCGUCGUCGACGGCCGCGCCCAACUCCAGCCUCAGCUCGGCCAGUAGCGCCGCCAGCCUGCCGCGCUGCUCCAGCCUGUCUCGCCUCUCCUUCGACUGCUCCCCGUCCGCCGCCCUGUCCCUGGCUGCGUCUGCUGCUCCGGCCUCCUCCUCCUCGCCAGCGCCGGCGCGGCCGCACCGGUCCGGAGACGCGGCGUGGGCGGCGAUCCGGGCGGCGUCGACGUCGGCCGCGGCGCCGCUGGGGCCACGGGACUUCAGGCUGCUGCGCCGGAUCGGCGGCGGCGACAUCGGCACCGUGUACCUGUGCCGCCUCCGGGAGUCGGAGGCGGACGCGGGGCGGCCGUGCCUGUUCGCGAUGAAGGUGGUGGACCGGCGCGUGGUGGCUAAGAAGAAGAAGCUGGAGCGCGCGGCGGCGGAGAAGCGGAUCCUGCGCGUUCUGGACCACCCGUUCCUGCCCACGCUCUUCGCCGACUUCGAUGCCGCGCCGCACUUCUCCUGCGUCGUCGUGGAGUUCUGCCCCGGCGGCGACCUCCACUCGCUCCGCCACCGCAUGCCCAACCGCCGCUUCCCUCUCGCAUCAGCUCGGUGAGUGCUAGCUAGUACGUACAAGUAGUUGACGCGUGUCUUUCCGGCUGAGCUGCACCUCUGACUACGAGUGCUAACGGCGGCGCCUGCCGGUCGGUCGGUCGGUCGGUGCAGGUUCUACGCGGCGGAGGUGUUGCUGGCGCUGGAGUACCUGCACAUGAUGGGCAUCGUGUACCGCGACCUGAAGCCGGAGAACGUGCUGAUCCGCGCCGACGGCCACAUCAUGCUCACCGACUUCGACCUGUCUCUCCAGUCCACCUCCACGCCGUCGCUGGAGUCGUCCUCCGCCUCUUCCUCCGACGACGAUUCAUCGACCUCCGUGUCCUGCUUCCCGGACCACCUGUUCCGCUUCACGCUUCGUCGCCGCGGUGGCGGCAGCAGUAGCAGCCGGCGCGCGCUCCUCCGCCGCGCCGCCUCCUCGGCGCGGCAGCCGCUGGUGGUGGCGGAGCCAGUUGAGGCGCGGUCAUGCUCGUUCGUAGGCACGCACGAGUACGUGGCGCCCGAGGUGGCCCGGGGCGGUCCCCACGGCGCGGCCGUGGACUGGUGGGCGCUGGGCGUGUUCCUCUACGAGCUCCUGCACGGGCGCACCCCGUUCGCCGGCGCCGACAACGAGGCCACGCUCCGCAACAUCGCGCGCCGACCGCUCUCCUUCCCCUCGCCUGCCGUCGGUGGCGGGUCCAGCGGUGCCGACGCCGACGCGCGGGACCUGAUCGAACGCCUCCUCGCCAAGGACCCGCGGCAGCGGCUAGGGUCCCGUCGCGGCGCCGCCGACGUGAAGGCGCACCCGUUCUUCCGCGGUCUCAACUUCGCGCUGCUCCGGUCCUCCCGCCCGCCCGUCGUACCCGGCGCGUCCCGCUCCCCGCCGCUGCACCGCUCGCAGUCCUGCAGCGCGGCGACAGCGUCUGCGACGCGCAGGAGGGCGUCGAAGCCGCCGCCGCAGCCGCAGCCGGACGCUCGGUUCGACCUGUUCUGAACGACCGUUGCCAGUGCCGGCGGCAUUGACCUCUAGUUGCAUUGCAUCACACUCGCCAUUGUACAAGAGUAGUAGUGUUAAUCUCUUGUAGUAGUACCGUACAAUGUCAUUAGUUUAGUCUAAUCGAAGUUAAACUCCAACUCUGCUCUACUCUGUCGCUGAAUUCCGAGGGGUGCUCCGGCUUAAUGACGGGGCUGACGUGGGUGGAUUAACUAUACAGUAGUACGUUGACAGCGGGCGAGGUGUGUCGGGUGGCCGGGCCACAUGGGUGCUGGACUUGUCUGCACACAGGGGUGCUCUGCCAGGCGAUUACUACAUUAAUGGCGCCGGUUGACCUGGCCUGGCGAGCUUGGUUGGCGUGCCUGCCCCUGCCGUGGGGAAGACGCUGACGUGGCUCGUGGAGUGGUUCCCGUUGCUGGAGAGACGUGUGGCAGGCCGAGCGGAUGCUGGGGUUACUAUACUACUAGUACCAGUGCAAAUGGCCCUAAUCUAGGCCUUAUUUAGGCCUUCUUUAGUUUCCAAACAUUUUAAAUAUUUUCCGUCACAUCGAAUCUUGCGGUAUAUACAUAGUGCAUUAAAUAUACAUAAAAACAAAAACUAACUUUACAGUUUAUUUGUAAUUCGCGAGACGAAUUUUCUAAGUCUAGUUAUUCUAAGAUUAGAUAAUAUUUGUCAAAUAAGGCUCUGUUUAGUUCCCCAUCUAAAAUUUUUUCGUCCAUCCCAUCGAAUCUUUGGACCUAUGCAUUGAACAUUAAAUAUACAUAAAAAAUAAACUAAUUACACAGUUUGAUUGAAAAACAUGAGACGAAUCUUUUAAGCCUAGUUACUCUAUGAUUAGCCUUAAGUGCUACAGUAACUCACGUGUGCUAAUGAUAGAUUAAUUAUGCUUAAUAGAUUUGUGUUAUAGUUUCCUGAUGAGCUAUGUAAUUUGUUUUUUUAUUAGUUUUUAAAAACCUCUCCCGACAUCCUUCCGACACAUUUGAUGUGACACCCAAAAAAUUUUCAUCUCCAAUCUAAACAGGGCCUAAAAACGAAAGUGCUACAGUGCCAAAAACUCAAAGUUUUUCCGAACUGAACAAGGCCUUAGAUACACCAAAAAAUACAAAACUUUAAAAGAUUCUUCGUCACAUCAAAUCUUAUUGCACCUGCAUGGAAUAUUAAAUAUAGAUAAAAAAGAUAAUUAAUUGCAUAGUUUUUAUAUAUAAAUUACGAUACGAAUCUUUUAAGUCUAGUUGCUCCAUGAUUGGAUAAUGUUUAUCAAAUAAAAACGAAAAUAUUACGAUGUCAAAAUCUAAAAAAUUUUGGAUCUAAACAUGGCCUUAGGGUGAUGCCGUGAUGGAUUGCUCUGAGCAGUGAAUCAGGAGUUUUAGGAUAGGGAUGGAGGGUUCCAUGGUUGUCGGUUCUGAGUAGAACAGUUCCUUUGAUGAUUAAAAAAGUGUGUCGUUUACGAUUAGGGUCUUGUUUAGUUCCAAAAAAUUUUGCAAAAUUUUUUAAUUCUCCGUCACAUCAAAUCUAAAUCUUUAAACGUAUUUAUAGAAUAUUAAAUAUAAACGAAAAUAAAGACGUAUUUAUGUAAAAUUUUUUGAAGCCUGGAUUUGAUCGAACAUUAUAAACUUUACAAACGUCACUACUACUACUAUUACUACUACUACGUUGUCUGUCCUAUUAGGCCUCGUUUAGUUUGCAAAAAAGUAGGCUUGAUUUAGUUUAAAAAAAUUUAUAAACUUUUUUAUAUUUCUCGUCACAUUAAAUAUAUAUAAAAGGAAUAAUCAAUUAUAUAGUUUAGCUAUAAUUUGAGAUAACAAUAUUUAAGUCUAAUUAGUUUGUGAUUUGAUAUAUUGUCAAAUACAAGUAUAACAGUAUUAAUUUUGUAAAAAAAGAAAUUAGAACUAAACAGGGCCUAGAAUUUGCAAAACUAUGGGAGUGGUGGGGUCCCACGCAACAUGCCUUUGCUGCCGCCCGCACGGCGGUGGGUGUUGGUGGCGUGUGGCGUUGCACAAGGCUUGCCGUGCUGUGGUGCUGCGAUAGAUAGAUGUUGCAGAAAGCGCCCGCGGAGGACGCGACGGCUGACCGCUGGACGACGGACGGGCGGACUGGACACAGCCGUCGAGAGCGGUUGCCGGUGGGACGACGGUCUCGCCGUCGCAGCGCAGCGCAGCGCAGCGCAGCGCAGAGAGAGAGAUGGAUGGAUCGCUGUGUCCAUCGUUGUCGGGGGAUGGGGUCGCCGUCGCCGGCCGGUCUGGGACACGGCGACGUCCACGGCCGGUCGAUCGCGGAAGCCUCCACCACACCACUCCACUCCACUCGACUCCAUUCAUCAUGUGACAGACGACAUUGACGCCACUCGCGCGAGAGCAUCUCUGACGCCGAACUCGCCAUUAAUCCAGAGCUUCAGAAGCACCCAGAAAAGGUGCAGGCUCGUUCCAACACGCACGGCAGGCCUGCCCGUGUCCCGGUGCGCCGCGGUGCCCAUGACGUACGUACAUGUGGCCCCUCCUCACCUUCCAAACCAGACCUGCAGGCCCCCCCACCCCCAGCGCAUGCGCCCUCUGGCCGCCUGGCUGCCAUGGCUAGAGCCUGCACUGCACUGCACUGCACUGCAGGGGCUUUGACCCUGUAGGAUUGGGAAAGAAAUUAAAACCGGGGCCGCAGCGUGCGUCCAGACUGGAGGACCGUAGCCUUUUUUUUUGUUUCUGCGGCUGUGGAUGGGUAGGCGCCCUAGCGAGGCCAGAGUGCGGUGCUGGUGUUGCAUCGAUCGCUCAUGCAUGCUGCAUGCAUGUGAGGCAUGUAGGGAUGAAAACGGAUCGGAUAUCAUCGAUGUUUUCGUAUUUCUGGUCGAAUUCGGAUUCGAAUACGGAUAAUAUCAACUAUGUCGGAUAAGAUACAAUUGGAUGUCGACAUCAUAAAUAUACGAUUUAAGUACUCGGAUACGGAUACGGUAUCGGAUGUUGAACAUUCAGACUCGGAUACGGACUGAUCUGAAUCCCUCUAAACGAAUUCGGUCUCGAAUACCGUUUUCAUCCCUAGAGGCAUGCAUCAAUGGCACUACGUACGUACUAGUACGUGCAUGUGAGGCAGCAUCAAUCGCUGAUACACAAGUUUUAAAGCUGCUCCUGCUGUGGGUGUUUCGAAAGAUUAGGGCCUGUUUAGAUUGGGAACGAAAAUUUUUUGGGUGUCACAUCGGAUGUGUCGGAAGGAUGUCGGGAGGGGUUUUUAGAAACUAAUAAAAAAACAAAUUACAUAGCUCGUCAGGAAACUGCAAGACAAAUUUAUUAAGCAUAAUUAAUCUAUCAUUAGCAUAUGUGGGUUACUGUAGCACUUAAGGCUAAUCAUGGAGUAACUAGGCUUAAAAGAUUCGUCUCGCGAUUCUUAACUAAACUGUGUAAUUAGUUUAUUUUUUUAUCUACAUUUAAUGUUCCAUGCAUGUGUCCAAAGAUUCGAUGGGAUGGAUGAAAAAAUUUUUGGUAGGGAACUAAACAGGGCCUUACUCCUACUGCGACGGUCGAGUCGACUGGUCCUGCCUGCCCGGCCAUUUGUACAGUCGUAUACCAUCGAAUCGAUCGACGAGCAGGCCUCCACGGACCGCUAUGCCCAUGCAUGACGACCCAGCGCUCUACUGUACCGUUACGGGGAAGAAGUGACUCUCGAGUGUUUGAGUCCGACUGCGAAAAGCUCGCUCGCGGUGGCGGCCCAUGCAGUGCAAGGCCGCGUUGCAUGGUUGCUACAGUGCGUCGAUCUGCCUCUGGCCGGCCGGCCAUUUGCACAGUAGUAUACGAUCGAAUGGAUCGACGAGCAGAGUUGGUCGAACCGGCCGGCCGCCAUGCCCAUGCAAGGGCAGGCAGCAGAGGCUAUCCACUGUUGCAUUGCAUGCAGCCUCUGGUGCAUGUGCAUGUGCAUGCAUCUCGCUGCUUCGGUCCUUCCUACGCGCUCUAAUGUAGUAGAGGAAGGAUUAUAGCGGGCUGUAAGGCUAUCUCCAAUAGAAGAGCUAUUUGGGAACCCAAACCUAAAAUAGGUUUCCAACAUAAUACCUAUAGCCUCCAACAGAGUAUCAUACAGAAGACCCAUUUUGGGUAUCAGGAGAGGCAUAACCCAAAUUUAGGUAUUCUCUCUCUUCGAGACCCAUUUGCAGAGAGUAUUGUCUGUUAGGUCUUGUUGUUGGAGAAGACUAAAAAUAGGCAUGGAACCUUUUACCUGUAGCGCUACCCAAAGGGUCUUGUAUUUUGAGUGACCAUUGUUGGAGACAGUCUAAGCUGGCUAAAUGCUGAGGUGGAGGAGAGAAGAGAUGAGAGAGAGGAGAAGCACGCUGUAACCUUAUAGCCAGCUUAAGCACAGGAACCAAGAAACCAAGAAACUUUGUGAGAGAGACAAGUGGGACAUAUAUUUAUAAGGAAUAGUUCAUUAUUGUAUAAGUGGGCUGUAAGAAAGCUGUAACAAACUUUACAGCCAGCAAGUAGGCUGUAUUAUUAAACUUGCUCGUACUAGAGCCGUGCAGCCUGCAAGCGCUAGGGUUGCCGUUCGGAUUUUACUGAUGUCACGCGUGGGCCUGGCGCGGCGCGAGGUGUGUGCGUGCGAGGGCGCAGAUGCAUGCGAAAAAGCUCGCGGUGCCGGUGAUCCAUCCAUCACCGUGCAGUGCAAUGGCGUGCUUUUGCGUUGCAUGUCUGCAGCGGUGAAGCCUGCAAAAGGCUAUGCAUGGCUGCAGCAGCUACAGCCUAGAGCUACUCCUCGGUCGCAGUAGCACCGGACCAGAGUGGUGCAUUGCCAUUGCCAUUGCAUCCGUGUGUGCUCAUGAGAGGCGAGAAAAGGCUGCACCAGGACUGCCAAGGGUUCGCGUGCAUGCCUCGUCCGACCUCGGACCCUGCGCCACGCCUACCAGUAGUAGAGUAGCUCGAUCGCUGUGGGUGGCCAUCGAUGAUGGAUCGCCAUGCAUGGACAGACACACACCCACAGACGGGAAAAGCUCUGAGCCGAGAGAAAGAUCGAGCAAUGGCCUUUCCAUACUUCCAUGCCGAGGCUACCACCACACCUCAAAAUCUAUCUUUUUUUAAAUUCUCAGAACAUUAUAUAUAUAUAUAUAUAAAACUAAUUACAUAAUUUAUCUAUAAUUUGUGAGAUAAUUUUUUUUAAUAUAGUUAAUUUAUAAUUAGACAAUAAUUAUUAAAUAUAAAAAAUAAAAACAUUUUAGAACUAAUUAGGCAGGAGGAGGAGGUGAGGCAUACGCAUGGCAUGGCUAGCAUGCAGUGCUAGCUGCUGGAGGCGCGAUGCGAUGCGAGGCCAUCGAUGACACGCUCGUUCGUACACACGCGCGGCGGGCAGAGCUAGAGCUACAGCUACAGCUAGUAGCUACAGUGGGGACUGCACAUCAUGCCAAUCCCCAGCCCCCCUUGAAGCUUUGCAUGCUGCCUGAUGAAGUGAGGAAUAUAAUGGGGAUAGGAGAGGAGUACAGUACAGUACAGUACUAUAUCCUGUCGUCCUGUGCACUACUACUACUACUGUCCGUCCGCCAGCCCCCGUUGCACGCAGCACUCCACUGUUGGAGUAGGACUAGCAUCUUAUACUUCUAGCAUACAAGCCUUUGGGCCGGAACCGGAACAUGUCACGCCCAUGACCCAGUCCAGCCCAACCCUUGGCGGCCCACCUCCGCUCUCAUCUUCUUCACAGCCCGAUCGAUUUGCCUGCCACUGCCAUGGAUUAUGUGGAGGAACGAAUGACACAAAAAAAUCUGCGUGCACAAACCAGGCGACCGGGCCGUGGACUGACUGACUGAUGCACACAGAGCCGAGCCGCUACUCCAUCCAUUCAUCAGGAGAAAAAAAAAAUAAACAAAAUACAAGCAGCAAAAGCGUCAUCUUCCUUCCCAGCUGUUCCUUCUACCUAAAAUUCACAUCGAAUCAAAUUAAAAUGAAGCAACAAACGCAGUUUCAAUUACAAGAAAACAUACACCAACAGGCAUCACCUGACCAAGAUGGAAGGAAACCUCUAGUGCCUGCUGCAUGCUGAGACCACAUCCAGCCUUUUGGUUUCCAUCCAACCGCACUCAACACUCAUGUGCAAGACAUGACUGCAAGAACUAGACGGCGCUGCAUAAUAUGCUUCAAGGGAAAGCACGGCGCAGUGCCAACAUGCUCCACUCUCAUCUUCAACUACGGAUUUAAUUAAGCAGAGAAAGAUCCAAAUCUGCAGAACCAGGUUGGCCGAGUGGCCUGACGAAACUGUAGGUCCUGGCUGCUGCUGCUGCUGCUGCAAAAGGGUGCCACUCCUCUGGCUAACAAGCACUUCUCCCUGCAUUGGUUGAAGCCACUAGACAACACAAACCAGCAGUUUCCUCCAGGUUCCAGCCUCGUGACAUCACGCGGGGAUGACCUCCCGACAGUAUAGGCAACCGAUUAUAGGGCCUUGUUUAGUUGGUAAAAUGAAAAGUUUUCGUACACUGUAGCACUUUCGUUUGUUUGUGGCAAAUAUUGUCUAAUUAUGAACUAACUAGACUUAAAAGAUUCAUCUUACGAUUUAUAGGCAAACUGUGUAGUUAGUUUUUGUUUUUUUGACUAUAUUUAAUGCUCCAUGCAUGUGCCGUAAGAUUCGACGUGACAGGAACCUUGAAAAGUUUUUGGUUUUUGAGGUGAACUAAACAAGACCUAGUUCCAUAUAUCUUCCUCUGACCUUGUGGUACUUGGUUUCCUCAAGCAAGAUAAGUAGAAAUAGCCCUGCAUUUACAGCGCAGGAGUUUGCCCGUUGACCAAACCGAACCAAGAGACGUCGUCCAUUGUUUCUCGGACUCCAUACAAAAUUCUGACUGUAACUAUCAGAAUGUGUUCACAAAUCGGUUUUCUACAAAAGAAACAUGCACGAACAGGCUUACAGACCAGACCAAGAUGGAAGCCAGGCACCGGUUGCUGAUACCAUAUCCAGUUUUUGUUUCCAACACACCAAUACUGAGGUGCAAAAAAUGACCCUGAAGAAUACUUCAAGAAAAGGCAUUGCACAAUCUCAACAUGUGCACUCUCUAAAAACUUAAGCAAAGAUCAAACCUGAAGAACCUGGCUGAGCAGUCUGACAAAGCCCAGCUCUACACAAAUGGGUGGGAACUGAUCUUGGCUUCUGCAAAGUUGAUACUGGUCUCCUGAAAGAAGAUAUGUAACACAUUGAGAAACAGCUCCGCAUUUACAGCACAGGGCAGGGUUUGUCCAUUGACCAAAAACAAACCGAGAGAUGUCCAUCUUUUCACAAGAAAAAAAAAGGCUAUUUUUGCUGAUGAGUUCAAUGAAAAAAAAUCAUUGUCUUAUAUUUUCCUUUUGAUGCUCCGCAAUAAGCACCAAGUUAUGCUUGACUUUGAAAUUAUAGACGAGGUGGCUAUAGAAGUGCUUGAGAAACUGCCCAAACUAGCAGUCCACUGCCUAUGCCCAAGUGGAGAUGACAGGCCAACAAUGAAGGAAGUUGUGGAGAGCCUACAGAUGUUGAAUAGGCUCCACAUGGACGCAACUAAUGACUGUGCAGACAGUUAUUAUGCACACAGCCAUGCAGGAUCAUCAUCAUUGGCUGCCCCUUUGGAUGAUAUGGCAUACAACAGCAUGGAGACAUCUACACUGAUCUUGGUAUAGAUUUGGCAACACGGUACUUCUACACUUCUUUUCUGGAAUGGUGCUUCUAGACUGGAUAAUUGUAUGUGGUACUUGACUUGGUGAUGUAAAAUAGUACAUAUUUAUUAAGCUGUUGCUACAAUAUGCUAUGUAGGAUAUGAUGCAACUUUUACAAAAUUCUGCCUUCUGAACUGUUUUAUUUUUAUUUUUUAUUUUAUUUUUUUAGAACCUUCUGAACUAUUAUGUCUGAGAUAUCAUUCCAAGCCUGCAAGCCGCAACUGCAUAUGCUAUUUUGUGCAUGUAUGAUAUCUAAAUGUAUGUAAAUUUUACAUGAAUAUCCAGCUCUCGUUUUAUAGAAACAUUAAGGGGGGUAUAUGUGCAGGAAAAGACAUUUUGUGCACCUUGGAUCAACUCAACUAAAAGUACUAAGUAAUAAGCAUUCAUCAGUUCUUUUAUCGUUUGGAAAAGUGUGUCCUUAAAUGCCUCUUCCAGACUAAGUGGAACUCCUGCUCUUAGAAACCUGCAUGCCAAUUCAAUAUUUUCAGAUGUACAGUCAAAGUGAAGUUGUUUCUUCAGUCUAUGUACCGAACUUAUUUCAGUUUGAUUUUCCUGAUCAAGCCAAUUCUAUUGUUCUAUAACAACAUCAGAGCCUGUUAGUCCCUAGCAAUUUGGAGUAGGGAUUCUGUUCUAAAUAGUAAAAGUGCCUUCUGUUCUAUACCAUAGAAGGAGCUAUUUAACUGGAUAUAUGGAGCAAAAUUUACCUGACUACAAGCCUGAAGCAUGUGAAUCCAAAAGCUCCUUGUUCCACCUGGACUCGUAGAGUCAUGCAUAAUGCUUGGAGUUGGAGCUCCCAGGCAAGUCACAUCACAUCUGUGUCUCUUCUUCCGUUCUUCGUGUGGUUUGAUUCCUUCCUCCACUGUGAUCCAAUCCUGAGCUGUGAGUGGCAACUAAGUGCCACCACCCAAUUGCGUUAGCAUUACCACUGUGAUCAACCCAACAACUUGGUGCCGCUUCUCUACCGCAGCAAGAACAAGUGUACAACUUGUUGGUAACGUCAUGCGAAGUCACUACGUUUAAGUUUUGCAACAUCUACGAUAAAAAACUAACACAAUCUUUUCAUGGUAGAAUUAUGGUUUAUAUUGGCUAUUGGUUAAGGACAUAAAAUAAAUGAAUAAGGGCAACCCAAGCAGUGAAUAUUUGGUACUUACAUCUCCUCGAAGUUAUACCCAUGGGGGACAGGACAAAUGUGAAGAAACAUCUGUGAAUAUUCAUCGAAGUGUAUCUGUCCCCAACCAACAAGUUUUGCAAUGAAAGCUAAUUAAGGAAUGGCAGCACCAAGCACAACACUGCUCUGCCCAACUGCCUUCUUGAUUCCAGCCUCCUGCAUCACCUCUCCCAUUCUUGAGCCAGCAUACCAAUUCCCAUCUUCUAAAUAGACAUUCCUAAUGGUCAUAUACCGACCGGAUUGCUGGGGGCCAAGAGAUAUUAAUUUCUGCCCGAUCUCCACAGCAAGCUCCACAUUACCAUGGAGCUUGCACGCUCCAAGAAGAGCACCCCACACAGAAGCAUCAGCCGCGAAGGGCAUCCUUUCUAUAACCUGAAUGGCUUCUCCAAAUCGGCCAGCACGGCCUAAGAGGUCCACAACACAUCCAUAGUGGACCAUCAACGGUGCCACCCUGUACUCAGCGACCAUUGCCUCGAACCAGUAUAACCCAACCUCCACUAAUCCUGCACGAGCACAAGCCAUCAGCACAGCCAGAAAGGUUAUCUGAUUUGGCAAGAAGCCUUCACCCCUCAUCAUGUCGAACUUCACCAGCGCUUCAGUCUCCUUCCCAUGAUUAGCCAAAGCUGACAACAGGGCAUUCCACGUGCAAACCCCCUUCUCGCAGACGAUCUCAAAAGCACUCUUACAGAAGUCAAGCCUCCCAUGCUUCCCAUACAUGUCAACCAGUGCCGUGCCCAGGAACGCAGUGAGCUCAAUCUCAUGGCGUAGGAGGUAUGCGUGGACAGCCAUGCCCGCGGCAAGCCCCUCACCACCGUCAAGAUUGGCACAGGCCGAGAACACGCUGACCAACGUGGCCUCCUCGAGGCGUCGCCCCAUGUUACCCAGCAAAAAUCCCCUGAACACCUCGAGAGCGCGCCGGUGGCGCCCGCCUCGCGACAGCCCAGACACGAGCGUCGUCCACGACACGGGGUCCCUGGCCUCCAUCCUCUCAAAGAAGUCCCCCGCCGCGUCCAGGUCCCCGGCGUGGCACAGCGCAUCGAGCAGGGCGUUGCAGGAGGCCAGGUCCGGGCCCCCCUCCAUCUCGUCGAACACCUUGCGCGCGUCGCGAGCCGGGUGGCCCGUUCGGCCGUAGGCGCUUACGAGCGAGCAGGCGACGAAUCGGUCGGCCGCGAGGCCGCGGCGGAGGCACUGCGCGUGGAGCGCCCCCGCGGCGGCCGCGGAGCCAGAGGCGGAGGCGGACUUGAGGAGGGACGGGAAGGUGUGGCGGUUGGGGCGCCCGCCGCGGGCGAGCAUGGCGGAGAAGAGGCGCAGCGGGGCGGGCGGGGAGGAGGCGGCGGGGACGCGGAGGUGCGCGUGCGCGAGGCAGUUGUAAGGAAAGGCGGCGGAGGAGCAUCGGGGGUCAAGGUCGAGGAGCAGCACGCCGGAGGUGAGGAGCAGCGCGUGCACCUGGAAGACGCGGCGCGGGAAUGGGAAGUGCUCCUGGAGGAGGCGCUCGAAGACGGCGUACGAGUACGGGGAGGCGCGCUGCAUGGGGCGCACGUGCUGUCCCAGAAACCUCGCCGGUCGCCGCCGCCACCGCCGCCGCCGCGCGCUAAAGCGAGAGCGUCCCUCCCGCCAGCAGCCAGCGCUUGGCGUCUCAGCCGCGCGACUGCGCGAGGCGGCGAGUGCGCUGCGAGCUCGGGGCUCCGCUCUGUGGGCCCGAAUUGGCUAAGCCCACCAGAACAGCUCCGCUGGACGGACCGGACUGGGCUGAUGGUCGGCCCACAAUUGGCGCAGCCCACUAGAACAGCUCCGAUGGGCCCAACAGAGAAAGCAGCAGGUCUCCACAGCUGAGUUAGGUAGGACUCAGGAGGCCCAGGAACAGGGCUGUUUAUUCUUUGUAGUUAUAUGGAAUGCUUGUUUUUUCCUCUCCAAAGGAUGAUCCACCCUAUGAUGCAAUUACAUGUACCGGACAUGUACAGAUUCAAAUGAAGGGAAGAUGUAACCCAAAUCAUGUUUCCUAAUUAACAUAACUAAGCCAAGUUACUAAUUUUCUUUUCUAAUAAAGAAAUAUCACUCCAAACGUUCCGAAUUCGGUCCACUCCUAUUUGUGGUACUCCAUUCCUCCCAAAAAAAGUAUCACAUAGAUUUCAUGCUAGUCAAUUUUUAUUAAGUUUGAACAGAAUUGUAGAAAAUAUUAACAAUAUUUAUAUAUCAAAAUAAGUUUGUUAUAAAAAUAUAUUUAGCAAUUAAUCUAAUGACAGUUAAAGUUAAAAAUGUUUAACUUCUCGAGAGUGAAACGACACUCUUUGUGGGAUGAAGGGAGUAUGACUAUACUGAAAUCUACAUUAGAGUUCAAUUCUAGAGCCCUCUCAAACAGGACCCCAUGUUGAGGUUCAAAAAAUUCAAAGUUUGCAAACUUUAACUAACUGUAACUUAAACUAAGUGUUUGUUCAGUGUACAAAAGACUAUUAAUAUAUCCAUGUUUCACAUUAUCAUUCAAUGGGACGGUUCAUAGUACUCCCUCCGUACCCAUAAAAAUAGACGUUCUGGGCUUCCUCACGUUUUUUACGAAAGCUGACGUUCUACCGAUGCGGGCAAGUCUUGGACGGGUUUACCCCUACCUAUCGAACCCUGGCCGCCUGCCUCGUGCUCCUCAAGACAAACCAAUGAAGCUACGAAAGUUUCUUGAUUAUAGGAUACCCGCAGAAUAAGGGCAAAGUUGGAAGAUUACCCUAUAAUUAAUCAUUCUUUGGUUACCACAAUUCCUGUUUAAACGUCAAUUUUUUUUAGAUAUGGAGGGAGUAAUUGAUAAUGCAUGCUAAGAGAAAUUGUGGCCUCUGGCGAAUGUGAGACUCAGUGAGCUUGGGGAGGCUGGCAAUGACGAGCUUGGGGGAGGAAGGCAGCGGCGUUGUGCUUGAGCAGAGAUAGACGGGGGAGAGAGACAACGGGAGAGGAGACUGAGGAGAGCACACAGGUUUGGCAGAGGGGAGGGGGGGGGGGGGUUAGCAAAACAGGCAUGCCCAUUAACCAGGAUGGCUUGUCCACGUAGGUUGUUGGGGCUCACGUGGCACGUCUUGGACCGUUGGUGACUGCAAAAUAUAGAUCUAGAACGUAGAUGGUAUAUUUUUUAGUUGAAGGACCCAUUUAGGAAUCGACCAAUAGUUUAAGGACUUGCAAUGCAAUUUACUCCAACUAGAUAUGCCCCCUUAUGUGUGUAUAAUAUUGCGGGCACUUUUCUCAUGAAUAUUCUGCUUAUGAGUUCACUGUUUUUUUAAGUAGACAGAUAGCAACAACUUCCAUACUGUUUAGGAACUGUGAAGCAUAUACGGGGUGGUAUAUGUCCACGCCAAAAGGGAACAAUGAAAAAGUUACUGAUUACUAGUUGAAGUAUCUGGCGCACAUAUAUCCCUUCGAAAAUUUAUACACCCACUCUAGCACUGCACCGGUGAUAAAAAUGGUCGGUCGAUGUAAUCAUGUAAAGUAUCUCCUUCGGUAUCUUUUAAGCACAAAAGAAAAAUCGGUUUGAAUCGUUUGUUCUUUAUUUGCAACUAUUUCAGUCUAGAGGUGUAUUCAGUUGUGCGCUAUAGAAGAAGGUUGUUUGAUAGUUUGUUCGCUUGAGCCACUCAGCGGUGUUUUUCUUUUACAAUAAAUCAGUCAAAAAUAUUUUUCUAUAACUUAUCAGCCAAACAAACACCUCCACGUCAAGGCACGUCCGAUCGCAUCUGACUCCAUGUGCUGCGAGCAUAUCAUAGAUUGCUAUGUCAAUGCAAUAUGACUCAAAGUAUAUUUUGACAUCUUCUGUUACAGUGAAGUAGAUAUGUAAGCACAGUUUGCAAUUAAUUUCCGGAAUAUCAUAAUUAACUUGAGUACAAGUAAUGGUACCUUUAGCUCCUUUAUAGACUAGACUAGCGAAGGCAUGAUAGCGCACCAGUUGGCAUGUGAGCGAGCAGGCGACGAAGCGGUGGCCGCGAGGCCGCGGUGGAGGCACUGCGCGCGGAGCGCCUCCCCGCCGGCGACGGAGCCCGAGGCGGUUGUAGGGGAAGGCGCUGGUGGCGGCGGCGGAGCAUUGAACUGCAAGAGGUGGCUCGCCAACGCCAAAAGAACAGGAAGUGCUUCUGGAGCAGAGCAGGCGCUCAAAGACGGCGUCACGAGUACGGGGAGGCGAGCCGCGUCCACGCACGGGCGCUCCGCUCCGAGAAACCUCGCCGCCGCCGCCGCUGUUCCUGUGCUGGAGGUUCGUCUUGUCUCACUCAAAAAAAAAAAAAAAUCUUUUCAUUCUGCUAGAAUAUUUAUUUUUAACUGCAAUCAGUACAGUAGUGUUUCUGAAAUUGCAAUCUGGGUCUUGUUUACUUGCCAAAAAUUUUGUAAAUUUUUUCAAGAUUUCCUAUCAUAUUAACUAAUUGCAUAAUUUACAUGUAAUUCGCGAGACAAAUCUUUUGAACCGUCCAUAAUUAUACAAUAUUUAUCAAACGGAAAUGCUACAGUGUUUUUGCAAAAAAUUUACAGCCAAACAAGACCUCUAUACAGUGUCAAGGCGUAGCUGGCCCCAUCAGCGCUUGAACCGGCCGGCAGUCGUCAGGACUCGGACCAAGCAUUCGCAAACCACACGUUCACAAAACCACGUACGUGCACAUUCAGUUGACUAGAUCAAUCAAUCACUAAUUAGUCAACACAUGCGACCGUUCCAAACCAGCACAGUUCGCUUAAGCUUAUCUACCGAUUCUAUCAGCUAUUUAAUAGCUAUUUAAUAGUGUUUUUCUUAGUGUUUUUCUUCAUAAUAAAUCAGUAAACCGUACUUUUUGCCACGGCUUUUCUACCAAGGCCUUGUUUAGUUCUGAUAAGUGAAAACUUUUCGGAACUGUAGCACUUUCGUUUAUUUGUGACAAAUAUUAUCCAAUCAUGGACUAACUAUGAUUAAAAAAUUCGUCUUGUGAUUUACAGCUAAACUGUGUAAUUAAAUAGCUGAUUAAAAGAUUCGUCUUGUUUUCGUCUAUAUUUAAUGUUUCAUGCAUGUGCCACAAGAUUCGAUGUGGCCCAAGCGAACAUGCUCGUACAAUACGGUACAAAGGAUAAAUAUGUAAUAGAAAAAUGUCCCACCAAAACACUACAAAUUUCUUGCCUCCCGUCUAAAUAUAAAUCUCUCGUCAAGCAGAUCCAAAACUGUGUGUUCUUCCUCUAGUUUGUCAGUCCAGAGCAAGGUUUCACAAACUGUACCAACUACUCAACAAGAUCCACCACGCUUCAUAUAUAGUUGAUCAUAUAUAAAUGAGGUAAGAAAACAAGGACUAUCGCUUUCUCAGAAUAAAUAAACCUCAAAACCGGAUGCUGCCUUCUCCAGAUUCCGGCAAUCUAUAAGGGGCCACACGACUUACCAUGAAGCAGACCCAACCCUUUGAUUUUGAAGUUUCCAAGAACUCAACUGAAACCAUAAAAAAUCACUCAAUCAGAUGUUGAGUUGCACAUGUUUAUUAGCCUUUUCCAACUUUUAGCAGUAUAAAAGGCAACAUAAAAAGUCUUCUUUCAAUCAAAAAGGAAAAAAAAGGAAAGGCAACAUAGAAGCCAGUUCAAAGAAUCCAGUUUACAUUGAUUGAUUUCGUCCACGCGCUAGUGACAUCAAAGAUCAAGCAAACCGUUCCUACUCCCAUCUACAAAUAAUCUAGCAUUCUAGGACAGUGUACAUACAGGAUGCAGAACGACAUCAUUCAAACCAACGAGAACGAAGCACUAGAAUUAGAAGAAAGGCUGCUGUAGCAGGUGGCCAACAUACCUCAUUAUUAGCCAUGAAAGAAGCAUUAGUAGUACUCCUGAUGCUCAUCAUCUCCCCAGUGAAGGCAGCAGCGCUGUCAUCAGCCACUCCAUCUGAGCCUGCUCUAUCACUGCCAGGGUGUCCCGACAAGUGUGGCGACGUGACCAUCCCUUACCCCUUCGGCAUAGGCGAUGGCUGUGCAGCGACAAGUCGGAACCCCAGCUUUGCCGUGACCUGCAACAACACCUUCCAGCCACCACGGCCUAUGAUCUAUGCCCCUGCCAGCAACACUUCAACACCAAUGGAGGUCAUCGACAUCUCCCUGGAGCGUGGCGAGGUGAGCAUCUAUGCCCCCGUCGGCUAUAGCUGCUUCGAGCCAAACACCAAUACUCUGGACAACUACACCGGCGAGUUUAGCCUGGAAGGCACACCACUCAUCCUCUCAAGCACACGAAACCGCUUCAUGGCCAUUGGCUGCAGCGCCCUGGGGCUCAUCGGAGCCAGUGACCCUGAACCUUCUGUGGCUGGAUGCUUCUCAUACUGCGAGGGCAUCAACCAGACAUCAGAUGGAGCACCGUGCAGUGGGAAGGGGUGCUGUGAAACCGCCAUCUCACCCAACCUUACUGCCUUCCAGGCGGCAGUGGCGAAUGUUACCUUGUUACCGAGCUUCAACCCAUGCAUAUACGCGAUGCUUGUCCAGGUUGGGUGGUACAGCUUCAGGAGACAAGACCUUGUUGGGCACCUUGGGUUCGUAAACGAAAGAGCCAGUAGAGGUGUACCGGUCAUUAGUGAUUGGGCCAUUAGAAAUGGCUCCUGUCCAAAAGAAGGGAGAGUGGUGCCUCAAGAUUAUGCUUGUAUCAGUACAAACAGUUACUGUACGAAUGCAAGCAAUGGGCCAGGGUACCUGUGUAGCUGCUCCAAAGGUUACAAGGGAAAUCCUUAUCUUCGUGAAGGCUGCCAAGGUAUGAUUUAUUAAAACAAAGUUGCUGUAAACUAGGUUUUGGACAUCAACAUCACAAAAUACAGAAACAUGUUUAACCAACCAAUACAACUCAAGUUUUCUUUUGCUUUUCUGCAUAUCUUUACGAUAUUGAUUGAAGUAACUCAUCCUUUGACCCCCUUUUUUGUCACUAUAUGUUAAUCCAUUUUAAUUCUCUUCAGAUAUAAAUGAGUGCGAGAUGCGUAAUCAAGACCCGAAGUACAGUGCAUUAUAUCCAUGCAAAAAAGGGGUCUGUAUCAAUACUCCAGGCAGUUAUGUAUGCAGAUGCAGGAUAGGAACAAAAUCAGAUGGUAGAAAUUCUGGAUGCCAGCCUGUUCUUAGGCAGUCUGAACAAGUGAUUAUAGGUAAGAAUCUAAAAAGCCUCUGAAAGCAAAGUUUAUAACUCUAAGGCCAUAGCAGGUCCCUUUCUAGGCUUUUGAUGCGUUGAAUCUAAAAUAAAGUGGUUGUGCAGGCCUCUGUGUUUCUGCACUUGUGGUGACGUCUGUGACAUGCUUGUUAGUUAUGAAAUUACAACGGAGAAAGCACAUGAAGGAGAAGGAUGAAUACUUCAAACAAAAUGGUGGCCUGAGGUUAUAUGACGAAAUGAGAUCAAGACAAGUUGAUACUAUUCUUAUACUUACUGAGACAGAGAUUAAGCAAGCCACAGAGAACUAUAGCGACAAUCGUGUUCUUGGAUGUGGUGGUCAUGGAACAGUCUAUAGAGGAAUUUUAGAUGAUGGAAAAGAAGUUGCCAUAAAGAAGUCCAAAGUAAUAGAUGAUGACUGCCGAGAAGAAUUUGUGAACGAGAUAAUAAUAUUGUCACAAAUCAAUCACAGGAACAUUGUCAAGUUACUUGGGUGUUGCUUGGAGGUAGAUGUACCGAUGUUGGUGUAUGAGUUCAUUUCCAGUGGUACCCUCUUUGAGUUCCUUCAUGAAAAUGACCAAAGAUUAUCAGCCCCAUUGGAUCUUAGGUUGAAGAUUGCUACACAAUCAGCAGAAGCUCUUGCUUAUAUUCAUUCAUCAACUUCUCGUACAAUUCUCCAUGGUGAUGUCAAAUCCCUCAAUAUACUCCUGGACAAUGAAUACAAUGCAAAAGUUUCAGACUUUGGAGCUUCAGCACUGAAGCCCAUGGACAAAAAUGAUUUCAUUAUGCUUAUCCAAGGAACUCUUGGCUAUCUUGACCCUGAGGCUUUUGUCAGUCACCAUCUAACCGACAAGAGUGAUGUCUACAGCUUUGGAGUUGUUCUUUUAGAGCUAAUUACAAGAAAGAGGGCUAUAUACAUCGACAAUCAUAAUGAAAAGAAAUCACUAUCUCAUACUUUCAUACUAAGGUUCCACCAGAAUGAGCUCCAGGAUAUCUUGGACAGUGAAAUAGUAGAUAAUGAGGUUAUGGUUGUACUCGAGAAACUAGCAGAUCUCAUCAUGCAGUGCCUGAGUUCAACAGGAGAUGAGAGGCCAACAAUGAAGGAAGUUGCUGAGCGCCUACAAAUGCUGAGGAGACUGCAGAUGCAGCUAGUCACAAAAACAAACCCUAUCUGAGCUCAUUACUCUUAUGGAGGACCAGCGACAACUGUCACUUCGGACACGGAGACAGCCAAACUGGUGUUGGAUGUUGAUCUUGCCAGAUAAUAUGUGCAAGGUUGUUCUUUCUAAUGUAAUCCAAUAUGUAUAAAGGUUUUGUUGUAAGUAGUGGUUGUAAGUUCUGACAAUGAUGUUGUGUGGGCAUAUAUAUGUAUAGUUGCACUUCUAAAUUAUUAUGUCUACUGCAAAGUAUAAGUGCAUUUCUCAAGACAAAUUCUAGCAGAUUCAUUAGAAAAGCAGCAAUGAUUUCAUGCAUUUUUUCAAUUUAAAACAUUUUUCCUUUCCAGUAUUGACUUGUUCACAUGUUAGGUAGCUCAAUUUUUCUUUACACGUUUUUUUUAAAUAUAUCCUAUCAAAUGCCAACAAUAAGUCAUGACCAAAAUGGGGACUGUUGCUUGGGGCUCAAAUCAUGCGGAUCCUAAAUUCCUUUUGAGUAGGCUUUUCGGCUAAUGGAUUUCUUAGCCAUGGUCAUAUAACAAGACAUAUUGUGCACAAAUAGCUUUUCUUAUUCUAGUUUUUUUUCCCUAGAGCAGCUGAAUAGCCCUGUGGAUGUAGAGGCUCAAUGGAAAACUCAAAGCCUAUUCACAAUGCAUGUUACCUCUUUAAAACUACAGCUAAGCCGCAGAAAAGCGCAUAAGCAAAAGAACACAAACAAGUGGAUGUGCAUUUUGAACUACAAAUUUUAUGAGCCGAUGGCUUUAUAAGAUCAACUAGGUUCAGUAAAACAGAUUAAGAAAACUUUCUAUUAGGGUAAAUAGGAAUAAUAUCACAUUGUCUACCCACGUGGGGUGUUAGUCCUAUGUACCAUAUAUACCCAUGAGGCCCAGUGCAAUAUAAAUGAAUAUUCCACCAAUUCUAUUCUCCUACACGGUAUCAUGAAUCUAGGUUUAGAUCCUAACCCUAGCCGCCGCUACAUCGGGCCUUCUCACAACGCCGCUCCACCUCGUUGCCUCUCCAUGCUUGCCGUGGAGGACACUGGACGUUGGCCCAUCCCGUGCCACCGUGGUGGAGGCCCGGGCCAAGUCGACUCCAACACCGAGCUGCCCUGGCGGCGGCUGACUAAUCUGCGCCAUCCUCGAAGAUAUAUACAACCACUGUAGCACUGGUGACAAAAUGGUUGAUCAAAUCAAAUCAUAUAAAGUGGUUCCUUCAGUACCUUUAAACACAAAAGCAAAGUCGGUUUCAACCGUUUGUUCUUUCUAAUAUUUGCAAUUAUUUCAGUCUAGAGAUGUGUUCAGUAAUGUGCUAUAGAAGAAGGUUGUUUGGUUGGGAAUGCGAAGAGAAUUAUAUGGUUUGAAGUGUGCGAUUUCUGAUGCUUACUGGUUGGCUUCUACCUGAACUAGAGUAGCAAUGCUUGGAGUUGGAACUCAUGCCUACAUCAAGGUACCUCCGAUCGCAUCUGACUCUGUCUGCUGCGAGCACAUCAUAGAUUGUGAUGUGAAUGCCACAUGACUGACAUUGCUAGUGGAUAAAGACGAGGUUCCUCAAAGUCUAUUUUGACAAUGCAACAUGACUGAAAUUGCUAGUGGAUAAAGACAAGGUUCCUCAAAGUCUAUUUUGACAUCAUUUUGUUACAAUAAAGUAGAUAUGUAAACGGAGUUUGGAAUUUGUUUUCCGAAACAGCAUCAUUAACUUGAGCACAAGUAAUGGUACCUUUAGACGGUGAAGGCAGAUAGCACACCAUUUGGCAUGAUGGCAUCCAAUGAUCCAAUCCACUCAUGCCUGCAGGCAAUCUGAUCCACCGAAUGCCAGUUUGAUUCUUUGUUAUCUAAAUGUAGCAGUGUAAUUCUCUCCUUUUCUUCAGAAGCACUUACGAACAGUUACGAAGGGAUGGCAGCAGUGUAAAACACAACACUACUCUGCGCACUGCGCUGCCGUCGUCUUCUUGAUUCCAACCUCCAGCAUCACCUCGCCCCUGUCCAUUGUCACGUCAGCCUGCCAAUUCCCAUCUACUAAAUACAAAUUCCUGAUAGUCACAUACUUACCAGCGUCGUGAUUGCUGGGGGUCAAGAGCCAUCAGUUUCCGCACAAUCACUACAGCAAGCUCAACAUCUCCGUGGAGGCACCGCGCGUGGAGCGAGCGCCCCCGCGGCAGUGGCCGAGCCCGGGGCGGGAGAGGACGCAAAAGUGCGCGUGGGCCAGGCAUAGGGAAGGCGCUGGUGGCGCCGUGGCGGCGGCGGAGCAUUGGGGAUCGGCGGAGGGCAGAGGAGGAGCGCGUGCAACUGGAAGAGGUGGCUCGAGAAUCGGAAGUGCUUCUGAAGCAGGCGCUCGAGAAUCGGAAGGGGAGGCGUGCGGCCGCAUCGACGCACGGGGCGCCCCGAGAAACCUCGCCGCCGCUGUCGCCGCCGCCGCCGUUGUGAUUUUCCGUGCCGCGAGUGCAAGCGCACGGCUCCGCCAGCGAUCCGUCCUCCGUGGGCCAUAAAAACUCUAUUGUGGAUUGAACUCAAGAACGGUCCAAAGAUGCAGGAUUUCGGCCCGGAUAAUAUUAACCUGUUCUUGUGCUCCCAAGGUCCGCAAAUAUUUUUUUAUUCUGCUAGAAACAUUUUCCCUCUCUUUGCUGAAAUUUUUUCGUUUCUAGAAGUACUAGAAAAAAACAGUUGUCCUCCUAUAAUGUGAUUAAUAAGAAAAUUAUCGUAUACUCUUAUAAAGAUAAACCCUGCUAGAUAAUUUCUUUCUUCAUAGAAGGUGUCCACAUUAUUUUCCAUUAAGUAUCCCACUAAAUAUUAUAUCUCUUCAUACAAGGUGUCCACAUCAUUCCCCACUAAGUCCAUAUCAUCCCUAUUAAUUACAAAAAAAUAUUCAUCUCAUCUCUAUCAUGUGAAUGUGAGGUAUUUAACCUAUUAAGAUACAAGUCAUUUAUAUAUGCUAUUUGUUUCAUCACUUAUUCCUCUAUUAUAUAAAUAUUCUAUUAGCUUAGCAACUUUUUUUUACCAAAUCUGAUACAAUAAAACAAUAUGCAAGUCAAAUUCAUACACUUAUAUAUAUAGAAAAUCAUAUGAUAAUGGCAUGUAUAUAACAUAUUUAUUUUUAAGAAAAUCUCGCGACAAUGCACGGGGUAUACUCCUAAUUCUCAUGAUUAAAAAUAACAUGAGAUGGAAUAGUAAAAAUAGACUAUGAGGAGAAACAUAUUUAUCAAUAAAGAAAAGUAUAGAAAUGUCCUUUUUGCGCUACAUACAUAGCAAAAUUAAUGUAUCAAAAAAGUUAAAACAACCUAUAAUUUGGAACGAAGGAAGUACAUGAUAACCUCUUUCAUGGGAUAUCUCAAAGGUAAAAAGUGACGAAAAAUCUCAUUUCAAGAUUUCUAUUCAUUUCAAAAACUAAAUCCCGCAUUUAAGAAGCAUCAAUUUAAGCAAUAGCUAUAUUGGGCUUUAGAAAUGAAAAGCAAAUUAAAACAUCUCACAAGUUCUUGCAGCCUGUGAGGCUGCGGCUGAGGACCAGGUUCCCAAGAAAAAAGAGGCCCAAUGUCAAUGACAUCAGGUGUUGCAAAAUGCAAGACAAGGACGAAGAACAUCUAUUCUAUUUUCACUCUUUUCAAUUGUCAUCAUUGUCUGAAUGAUGCUACAUGUGCAACAUGACUUGUAAACUAUAUAGCGGACCGUUUCGAGCCAAUAUAUGAAAUCAAAUGGGGAACGCCUCCCCCAACAUCACUAGGUGUUUUUUUAUUUUUCAAGGUAGGCAAAGGCAACCGCCUCCGUCAAAAGGUCAUGGUUAAUCCAUGAACUACCGAGACGAUUACUUUGCCCGAGGCGGUUGCCUUUGCUCGCCUCCGUAAAUUAGAUUAAAAAUAAUAAAAAAAAGCAGCUGAGUCCAUAGACUCGACGUCGAGCCUAGCCACGCCACCGUCAUCCUGGUUCCGCACCAUCAGAUCUAGACCCGUCGUCGCUCGCUAUGCCGCACGUAGGAGCAGGGACGCAGGCCGCCACCGUCACUAGGUCUGGGCAUGACCGACCUCCUCUUUGCAGAAUCUGCGUCUGUUGUGGCCGGAUAUGCGUCAGUGGAGCUCGAUCCAUGCUGGGAGAGGUCGAUCCGCGUCGGAGGACCUCGAUCUUGUCGUUGCCGCCACCGCUCGAAGGAGGAGCUCGUCGCGUGAAGGAGGAGCUCGAAGGAGAGGCUGCCCCGCCAAACCCAUGCGCGAGGAUACCACCACCACCGAGCCCAUGUGCGACGUCUCUGCUGGUGCCACGCCCACGCGUGAGGCCUCCGCCAUCGUCAUGGCCGUGCACGAGGUCUCCUCCGCUGCCGCCACCCCCACGCGAGGCCUCCGUUGCCGUCAUGCUGGGAAAGGGAGGGAGGGCGGGUGCGCCGCGAAGGGAGAGGAAGUGAGGGUGUAGCGGCAUCAACCUAAGGAAGGGAGAGCGGGUGUGUCGCGCCGCCUGGGGAGGGAGAGGGCUGAGAGAGAGGAGAGAGAGAGAGUGGAUGAGGGAGAAUGAAACUCUAACUCCAGUAUAUAUACAAUGAAUGUGAUAUCGAGCUGAGAUGGGCUGCCUGCUGGACCAGUAUUUUUCAAGGCGGGCUUUAUAUUGUGCCCACCUCCGUUAAUGGGUUUAUGAAGGCGGUUGCCUUAAAAUGCCCACCUUGAUUAAGUUUGAUUAACCAAGACACGUGCAGCAUGUUGUCUACGUCGGUUAAUGAUUAACUGAGACGGUUGCUAGGGCAGCUGCCCCGCCACCGCAACCAACCCGUUUGCCUCCGAGCCCAAAAGGCAAAUGCCUUGGUUAAGUUUUAUUGUAGUAGUGUAUGCAUCACUCAAGCUGAUAAAUAUUUGUCUAUAUGUGAACUGGCUCUAGGAUAAAUAUCUGUCUCAUGAAAGUUCUAACUUCAGUCUCUCUUUAAAGAAAGAAAAGACAUCAUAGUAUCAGACCACAAUUAUUGUAAGCACACCUGAAAAAUAUAUAUUCUUCUGAACGGUAAACGAAAGGCAGUCAUUCAUUGAACUCGAAGAACUGGCAUUAAACUCGAAGAACUGGGCCAGUCGGCAAGCACCAUUUUUUUUACCUUCUGCAUUUUGUGCUAGUUAGAUUAAAAAUAUAGAUGUGUAUGGUUGGAUAUAACAAAAACAUAAUCCUAGAGAAAAUUUGAUAUGGUGGUGGUGGGGGGUAUCGUAUCAAAAGGCGAGGCCCGCGGCCCAUCUAUUACCGAACCAAGUAUAUAACACAGAGAGAAAAAACACAAUCAAAGGAGAAAAGGCUUCCACCAUAUUUCAUUAAAAAAGUGAUUCUUACUUGAGGGAUGUUGCCGGAAAGCUCUAACCAAUUGAGCUAGAGUCCUUUGGCUAUAGCACAGAGAAUAAAAGGUGAGACCGUGAGAGGGCUUUAGGAUGAAGCUAGAAUCAAACAUAUGCAAAGACUUAAAGGAAGGGAGAUGUUGGCUAAUGAUUUGCGUUGAGGUUUGAAGGAAAGAAUUGAUGCCUGUAUACCGGCUUGAGGCAAGAAUUAACCUCUUCGAUCAAUCUUAUUUGAGAAACAACAUGCGCAUAUGCUGUUGUGUAGUCCAUACAUGCAUUAAAUAUAUCAAAGGACCGGAGUCCCCAACCAUAUGCAUGCAUCGUCCUACGUUAGUCUAGCUCCAAGCUCCAUACAUAUAUACCCACACAGAAGAUAGAUGGCGGCGGCAUGGGACUCCGCUACUCCGGUGACUGCUGAUCAGACGACGGUGAACAUCACCACCGACCACGUCGGCGAUGAAGCUGCAGACGCAUCAUCAGGGACGAUUAUUGAUAAAGUCCAAGAGGAGUUGAAGAGGGCAGCAGACAAGGUUGAGGCUGAAUUCUCCAAGAAUGAGGCCAAGAUGCACAGGUAUCCUCCAAGUUUCCGAGGCUUGAUGAGCAAAGACGACCGCUACUUCGUCCCGCGCUGCGUGGCCAUCGGCCCUUACCACCACCGGGCGGCGGCGUACCUCCAUCAGGCGGAGGAGAUGAAGCGCGCCGCCGCCUACUACUUCAUCUGUGAGCGUCAGUCCUCGGGUCACUCCGCUGAGGUGAUCUACGCGAGGAUCCUCUCCGUGGCCGGCGAUGCCCGGAGCUGCUAUGACGACGACGCCGUGCUGGCAGGUAUAAUUCCCCAAGCUGACUUUGCCACCAUGAUGUUCCAGGAUGCUUGUUUCUUGCUGCAGUACAUCAUGCACGCGAAUGGCGUUGCUAGUCAGCUUCCGGAAUCCUUGAGGCGUUGGUUCGUUGCCAAUGAGGACAGCAUCCAAAGGGACAUCUUCCUGCUGGAGAACCAGGUCCCAUGGCUAGUGCUUGACACUCUCAUGUCCUUCAUGCCCGCGCAGCAUGUGGAUCUAGGCAAGUUCGUCUCUGAUGUAGCCAGCCGCUUUAACGCGGAUAUGGUACAACCCGCGGCAUGUACCCACCCUGAUCGGACGGCCAGGACUGAGAAGUAGCGUGGAGAUUGGGAAAAGGAAGCAUGCUGAAGUGGAAAGAAUGGGUACCUGUUUAAGUUAACAAGUACAGCUUGGAUCUGACGUGGAAGAGAGAGAUGAAUUGGAUGUAUGGAGUUUGGUUGGCCCGGCAGGGAGGUAGUUGGCGUAGUGAAUGCGGGGCUCCUUCCGGUGUACGGAAGAGGAAUGCUAGGCAGUAGGCACCGUCCCAUUCCCGGCCGAAUGUCCAAGCUCCGCGUGCUCGCCGCCGUCCAUUGCUCCCGCGUCCGUCUCGCCCACGGCGACGUCGUCGUGUUCGUGUUCGUGUUCGUGCUCGUGCCUGCUGGCGUCAUGUCCCUGUGCUCUACUACGCGCUCAUGUCCGAUCCCCACGGCCAUCGCGUGCACCAACGGCAAGCUAUCAGUGUCGCUCUGAAUAUGGUAGCCAAAAAUAUUAUUUUCUUUUAGAAAAAUCAGCCAACAAUACUUUAUGUUAUAACUUAUGAGUCAAAUAAGUAAGACGAUUUGUCCGAGCGGCAAGCUAUCAUCGAAAUCACAUGCUCAUAUGGUCCUAGAGCCAUUGUGUUUUUUAACAUGGUUCAAAGAACGAGCUUUCUUUUAGGCCUUGUUUAGGAGAAAAUUUUUGGUUUUGGCUACUGUAACACUUUCGUUUGUAUUUGGUAAUUAUUAUCCAAUCAUGGAUUAAUUAGGCUUAAAAAAUUUAUCUCGCAAAUUACAGAUAAAUUGUGCAAUUAGUUAUUUCUUUUAUCUAUAUUUAAGGCCCUAUUUGGUUUGCCCCGUUAAAGUUUACUACCCGUCACAACGAAUGUUUGGACAAAUACAUUGAAUAAUGAAUAUAGAUUAUUUACAAAACUAAAAACACAGCUGGAGAGUAAUUUGAGAGACGAAUCUUUUAAGCCUAAUUAAUCCAUAAUUGGAUACUAAUUGUCAAAUAAGACGAAACUGCUACAGUACUUAUUAAACUUUAACACCCCAAACUAAACACCCCAUAAUACUUCAAGUAUACGCCUAAAGAUUCGAUGUGAUGAGGAGCCUUUAAAUUUUUUGAAAACUAAACAAGGCCUUACUUCCAUGCAUGUUCCUAAUUAUGAUAGUUUAUUCGUGUUUAGGUCAAAAUUUAUGUGUAACAAUCGAUUUGCAUAAUAAUUAUGAUAAUCCAUGCACUGGCUCCGUAGAAUUUCGACCCUCCAAUUUCUGUACACCGAGUAAUAGUUGAUAGCUCAUCUCCAUGCCGCUUACACCGAGUAAUAGUUGAUAGCUCAUCUCCAUGCCGCUUGGUAGCAUUAAGGCGCAUGACAGCAGAACACGAGGAGAAUAUGGCAAGAUUUAGGUGGUGUUUGGUUAGGGUUGUUAAAGUUUAACAGGUAUUGUAGUAUUUUCGUUUUAUUUGACAAUUAAUGUCCAAUCAUGGACUAAUUAGACUCAAAAGAUUCGCCUCGCAAAUUAUUCUCUAGACAUGUUUUUAGUUUCACAAAUAGUCUAUAUUUAGUACUUCAUGCAUGUGUACAAACAUUCGAUGUAACAGAUGGUAAACUUUACCGCCAUAAUCGGCCCUUAAUUGUUACAUACUGCAGUAUGCAAUUCGUUCAAAUAAUUCAACAGUUUUACAUGCACUUACUGCUAGAGUGCCAGGAAAAUCUCUAGCAUGAUUUCAUAAAUCAACCGCAGGGCAGCUACAUCAGAGCUUGAUGGAAAGGGAAAAAAGGACCAUACUGUAACAACAACAGCCCUAUUCUUGUUUCCUUGCAGAACAGCAGCAAAAGACACAGAAAAUCUAUAUUUGAGCAUUAGAUAACAGCAAGAAGAACACAUGCGUGAUGGAUCCCUACAGGAGACAACAUAGUUUAUCACCGGUUGUUCCAUCUAGGAAGAGGACGAUGACAACUGUGAUGUUAUCGGAGUUUCUCCUUUGGGAAGCUUCUUCCAUAAAGCUUGUUUGCUACUUCCUGGGGGUCCUGAAUAGGCUUGACCAUGGCAACAGCUUCCAGGAAAAAUACAUUACAUCAGGUAGAGUGAUAGACAGAUCAAUUGCAUCGAAGGAAAUAUUUAAUAACAUCUGUAGGUACCUCAUUAGUGACAACAUCCCAGAGUCCAUCACUAGCAACGGUGAGGAAUUCAAGGGAGCUGUCAACCACCUCAUGAUUGUAACAACAAAAGUAAUUUUCAGAUGGCUAAACUGGGGGACUUGCUUAUGAUAGAAUCUCUAUUUUUUUUGUUACAAAGGCAGCAUACUUCCUCACACUUGGAGAACUAUCUAGGUAAUCCAUAAGA
rnacentral:lncRNA from 1 species